rnacentral:rRNA from 1 species
AAUAGAUACCCAGGUAGUCCACGCCCUAAACGAUGUCUACUAGUUGUCGGGUCUUAAUUGACUUGGUAACGCAGCUAACGCGUGAAGUAGACCGCCUGGGGAGUACGGUCGCAAGAUUAAAACUCAAAGGAAUUGACGGGGACCCGCACAAGCGGUGGAUGAUGUGGAUUAAUUCGAUGCAACGCGAAAAACCUUACCUACCCUUGACAUGGCAGGAAUCCUCAAGAGAUUGGGGAGUGCUCGAAAGAGAACCUGCACACAGGUGCUGCAUGGCUGUCGUCAGCUCGUGUCGUGAGAUGUUGGGCUAAGUCCCGCAACGAGCGCAACCCUUGUCAUUAGUUGCUACGAAAGGGCACUCUAAUGAGACUGCCGGUGACAAACCGGAGGAAGGUGGGGAUGACGUCAAGUCCUCAUGGCCCUUAUGGGUAGGGCUUCACACGUCAUACAAUGGUACAUACAGAGGGCCACCAACCCGCGAGGGGAGCUAAUCCCAGAAAGUGUAUCGUAGUCCGGAUUGGAGUCUGC